AGAGCCUUUGAAGCUUUCUCUCUCUAACAAUUUGCGGUAAGAAAGGGGGUAGUGGGUUAUGCUGACAGAAGAGAGUGAGCACACAUGGCCAAUUGUAUAACCGUAUGCCGCUGUCUGUGCGUGCUCACUCCUCUUCUUGUCAGCUUUAUCAUUUCCCGCUAUUGCUUUGUGCCAUGACCUCCUGCAUUCUCCGUUCU
rnacentral:pre_miRNA from 1 species